GGAGGGUUGGCCGAAUGGGCAAGGCACCGGUCUUGAAAACCGGCGGGUCGCACGACCCUUGUGGGUUCGAAUCCCACACCCUCCGCCA
rnacentral:tRNA from 1 species